rnacentral:rRNA from 1 species
AACGAACGCUGGCGGCAGGCCUAACACAUGCAAGUCGAGCGCCCCGCAAGGGGAGCGGCGGACGGGUGAGUAACGCGUGGGAAUAUGCCCUUUGCUACGGAAUAGUCUCGGGAAACUGGGGGUAAUACCGUAUACGCCCUCUGGGGGAAAGAUUUAUCGGCGAAGGAUUAGCCCGCGUUGGAUUAGGUAGUUGGUGGGGUAAUGGCCUACCAAGCCGACGAUCCAUAGCUGGUUUGAGAGGAUGAUCAGCCACACUGGGACUGAGACACGGCCCAGACUCCUACGGGAGGCAGCAGUGGGGAAUCUUAGACAAUGGGGGCAACCCUGAUCUAGCCAUGCCGCGUGAGUGAUGAAGGCCUUAGGGUUGUAAAGCUCUUUCAGCUGGGAAGAUAAUGACGGUACCAGCAGAAGAAGCCCCGGCUAACUCCGUG